UAAAUCCGUCUUAAAUUUAUAUCAGACGAAUAAAUCAAGACGGGUUUCUGCUCGUAACGUUCAAAAGAGACUGGGAUGGAGGGUCUCCUAUUUUUUCGGGUUUAUCCGUCCGAUGGUUUUCGUUUCAUACUUAUACCAGACGGAAAUCCGUCACACGAGUUUCCCGUCUUAGACGGAAAUCCGUCUUCUAAUAUGAAUUCAGCUAUUA